rnacentral:rRNA from 1 species
AGAUAAGUAAGUAAGGGCGCACGGUGGAUGCCUUGGCACUAGAAGCCGAUGAAGGACGUUACUAACGACGAUAUGCUUUGGGGAGCUGUAAGUAAGCUUUGAUCCAGAGAUUUCC